AAAGCACUCUGAAAAGAGAGUUCACAAGUGCGUGAAACUGCACACUGCAAAGCGAAUGACUGGACAUCAUUAAGUGCGAUCUGCCAUGCUUCCGUGAUCGGGUACGUGAGAGGAAGAUGUGUUUACUCAUGUUCUGUCUUUCUCGCGAGGUAUUCCGGUCUAUGGAAGUUGUAUCGAUCGUGUUUUCGGCUGCUCGCUGGGUCGGCAAGAGUGACGGUCGCUGUCGAACAAGAGUUCCGUCAGGUUCUCUCUGUACUAGUGGCGCGCGCUGUGGCUAAUUGUGCACUUCGGUGUGCAUUGCUUGUGUAUCGGGCCGACCCAGUUGUGAAAAGGCCUGCCUCUGUUCGUCUGUCUCCGAAUUAUGGCAGCAUCUGCUGUUAAUUGGUUGGUGAGGCCGGUCAUGUGGAUGUACUGGCGCGAGGUCGGCAAUCGAAGAGGGCAGCCAAUGGCUUGUGCAGCAUUCGAACCGUCUUGAAACACGGACUAAGGAGUUCAACUUAAACGCAAGUCGUUUUUCGCUGAGAAUAUUAAAGGCAUAGUGAAAUCGACUCUGUAUGAGAGAUGUUAACUGAUGGGUACUUCUGUACUUUAAUGGUAAGCACGCGUGAUGAGUAGCACAAUUGUCAUUGUUGCUGACUGCACCUGAGCGUUCAGGUUGAGACCCGAAAGAUGGUGAACUAUGCCUGAGUAGGACGAAGCCAGGAGAAAUUCUGGUGGAAGUUCGUAGCGGUUUUGACGUGCAAAUCAAUCGCAAAACUUGGGUAUAGGGGCGAAAGACUAAUCGAACCAUCUAGUAGCUGGUUCCCUCCGAAGUUUCCCUCAGGAAAGCUGGCGUGACGUGAUAGUUUUACCUGGUAAAGCUAAUGACUGGAGGGAUCGGAGCUGUUAUAUCUUUGACCUACUCUCAAACUUAAAACGGAUAAGAACUCACUUGCUUCUUCAUUGAGCAGUGAGACCGAAUAUAAAGCGCCAAGUGGGCCAUUUUUGGUAAGCAGAACUGGCGCUGUGGGAUGAACUGAACGGUGAGCUAAGGUGCCAGACGCACUUCUCAAGAGAUGCCAUGAAAGGUGUUAGUUGAUAUUGACAGCAGGACGGUGGCCAUGGAAGUCGGCAUCUGCUAAGGAGUGUGUAACUACUCACCUGCCGAAUCAACUAGCCCUGAAAAUGGAUGGCGCUAUAGACGUGGACCUAUGCUCACCCGUUGAGAUUUCCUGUGUGCUCGCGCACAGGUUGAAAAAAGCUCUCAACGUGUAGGAGGGCAGAGACGUUAACUUUGAAGCGCACAAUGUGAAUUGGCGUGAAGUUGGCGCUAGUGCAGAUCUUAGUGGCAGUAGCGAGUAUUCAAAAUAAACAUUUGAAGACUGAAGUGGAGAAGGGUUCCAUGUGAACAUUAUUUGAACAUGGUUCAGCCGAUCCUAAGAGUGUGUAAAAUUCUGUGAAAUAGUGCGAGGCAUUUUUAUGUCUAUGCGAUCGAAAGGGAAUCGGGCUAAGCUUCCCGAGCCAGGGUGCAGAUUGUGACGUGUUUUUUCGGAGAUGUGUCAGAUGCGGUAACGCCCGCAAACCCAGAGAGUGCCAUGCGAUGUUCGGGGAAGAGUUCUCUCUUCUUUGUUAGGUAAGCUUGCCCUGGAAACGUUUUUCUCGGAGACAGGGGUCAACUACCGUAUUGCGACGCGAUUCUUGCGUGGCACCGUGCACAUUGUGUGGUCCGUGAAAUUCUGGGGGCGUGAAUGUUAGUCUUGUCCCUGAUCGUACCUAGUUCCGCAUCAGGUCUCCAAGGUAUACAGCCUCUAGUUUAUGGGACAAAGUAGGCAAGGGAAGUCGGCAAAUCAGAUCCGUACCUUUGGAAAAAGGAUUGGCUCUGAAGACUGAGUUGAUCGGGCUGUUGCGAAAGGGAGGCGGAUGCGUUAGGGGACUGGUCGACGGAUGACCUCGCAAGAGGUUGACCUGAGGUUGGACUCCGAUGUUUUCCGUCCUGCUGGCAGCUCCAGCUUGUCGGUGCAUGGUACGUAUGUACGGUGUACAGAGAUCGGUCAACGGCGAACAGUCGCAUCAGAACUGGUACGGACAAGGGGAAUCCGACUGUUUAAUUAAAACAGAGCAUUGCGAUAGCCGUCACCGGUGUUGACGCAAUGUGAUUUCUGCCCAGUGCUCAGAAUGUUAACGUGGCGAAAUCUAAAUAAGCGCGGGUAAACGGCGGGAGUAACUAUGACUCUCUCGAGG
rnacentral:rRNA from 1 species